AGAGGGUGACCGGCCACACUGGGACUGAGACACGGCCCAGACUCCUACGGGAGGCAGCAGUGGGGAAUAUUGCACAAUGGGCGAAAGCCUGAUGCAGCGACGCCGCGUGAGGGAUGACGGCCUUCGGGUUGUAAACCUCUUUCACCAGGGACGAAGCGCAAGUGACGGUACCUGCAUAACAAGCACCGGCUAAUUACGUGCCAGCAGCCGCGGUAAUACGUAGGGUGCAAGCGUUGUCCGGAAUUACUGGGCGUAAAAAUUUCGUACGCGGUUUGUCGCGUCGUUUGUGAAAACCACCGCCUCAACUGCUGGCUUGCAAGCGAUACGGCCGCACUUGAGUACUGCAUGGGAGACUGGAAUUCCUGGUGUAGCGGUGAAAUGCGCAGAUAUCAAGAGGAACAACGGUGGCGAAAGCGGGUCUCUGGGCAGUAACUGACGCUGAGGAACGAAAGCGUGAGUAGCGAACAGGAUUAGAUACCCUGGUAUUCCACGCCGUGAACGGUGGGCGCUAGGUGUGGGUUCCUUCCACGGAAUCCGUGCCGUAGCUAACG
rnacentral:rRNA from 1 species